GAAGUGUCAAAAGAUGGAGCUAACUGUUUUAACGACAUUCAGACUUUACUUCAAUCAAUAACGGAGCAGCAUCUCCUCAUCCGGAAACAGCAACCGGAAAUGUGUCCUGUGAAAAACCGUCCGACCGGAACUCUCAUAACUUAAGGUCCUUGUGUGAAUAAUGUAAACUCACUACACCGAAAUGGCAACAGCGGAGGAUGAAUGUCCCAUAACAAGAAGAUGGAGGAAAAAGAAGAAGCUUAUCGACGAUUGUUUCAUCAUGGACUACAAAGACGGACCCGCACAAUUUCACAGGAUUUAUGCAGAUCCUAAAUACAGAUCAGCAGGUACCAGAAGGCCAACUCCUCGAUCGACAUCUUUUACAACCAAGCAAAAGGCAACAAACACGGAUUAGUAUGAACACAAAAGGCUGGCCAGUCUGGAAAUACUCCGUGAAAACAAACCCCGGCCAUUCUGCAUCAUAAUGGUGACUCAAGGUUGGAUGUUGAAAGCUGCAACGCCACAUAGACGGGGAGCGCGGGCGAGGCCAGGAUUGGCAGGUGUGCGUGGAUAACAAGCGCUCAUCUCCCACAAACAGAUUGCUCUGAGCCUGAUGGUGGGUGGAGCCAGGAGACACACAUGUGGAGAGUUUGGCAAUUAGGCUUUCUAACGCUGCGUUCCAUUUUCAUCGGAAGUGGGAAGUCGGAGCUGGGAAUGACGUCACCGUUCUCCUGGCUCCCAGCUCCUGGCCGUGCAAGUUUCUGUUCAUGGUCCUGACUCGUUUACGUGGACUAUGGUGUGGUUUGUUUUCCCGUGGUGCAAAGCGAUUGGACCGGACACGAAGUGAAGCUGCAGCUGCAUGGUGGGCUGCCUCCAAGGUGGCAUCUUGCACCACAGAGCCAGCUCCAUGAAGCCACCAGGGCGCCGCUAAAGAGCCGCAUGUGGCUUAAAGGAUUGGAGCCGAGGAUGUCGUUGUGGCUUGUGCAGCCCUUUGAGACACUCGUGAUUUAGGGCUAUGUUCUCAGGACCACCAAGGAAGGACAUUGUGGGGCAGG